UAUAACUGUAUUAACCGUAUACAUGUAUAAUAACAGUAUAGUACAGAUAAAACGUUGAACCACGUGAUCACGUGUGAUACGUAAACGUGCCAUCGACGUCACGUGCUAAUGUAUGUAUACAGCACGUGUAAGAUAUUUUGAGUUCGCUUAACCACAGUCAGCUGUUUAUGUCAGAAAAGUGACAGCUGUGGAAACCAGCAGCCGAACAACUCGUUGGGUAAGAGAGAAAUUAUCUUAUUGGAUCUAGAAAAGAUGAGAUACAAGUCGGUAGAGCGAAAAUAACCGAGGGUAACGACGGCUGGCAACUAUAUAGGUAUAAUAUUUUAUGCGCGCAAACAUCACCCGACGGUCUGUAAAGAGAGAGAACGUGCCUGAAUUGUACGGAAAGAACCAGAACAUUCUAGAACGUUUACCGCUUGCAGAUUCGCAACGACCGAAGUUGCGUGUGGCGUGCGUUGGAUAAGAGGUUUUCAGAAGCAAAAAAAUUGUGACAUUGAAGUUUGGAUGGAGAAGAAGAUUCCAGAGGUUUUCCGUGUCGCCGAAAAGCUUUAUGCACGUCAGGCUACAAGUCACUCGAUGAUGUAAGCCAGCGAGUUAGGAUGCAGAAAGAGUGGCUAUAAAUAGCUAUCCGAGUCGAUGCCACUUUAAGGCUGUAUAGAAAGUCAGUGUCGAAUGUUCUCGAAUGAUUCUCAGGUGUCUAUAAAUAAAUAAGGUUUCUGAGGCUAAACUGCCUUUGAAUCGACUUUACAGAAUUAGGAACAAUAAUUCGGCGGCGCGGCGUUUGCCUGCUCCCUUCUGCCAAUCGGCAAAAUCUUAAUUCGAAAUUAUUCGUUCGUAUUUCCCUGAGCGUUUCCGUGACGGAUCCGCGACCACGAGAUCCUUUUAUUACACAUCCCCCUCCAAGGGCCUGCAUACAGAAGCCAAGGAAAACCAGGAUGGACAGGGCUUGGUAAACCGGUAUAAAACUUAUCCGAGGGAUCUUGCAAAGCAAAGGGCGGAUACAUACGGACGAGCGAUCGCAACUGCAAAUGUGGCGAAUGGUCGUGAUUUUCCAGCAUCGUUCUAAACUCGAAAUUAGUGCUUGCAAUGGUUCGUGAAAUUUUCCGUUCAUUCGCAGUAAUCAAAAAAGUUAUUCAACAUAUUCACCUAAUAUUUGCAGUUUUUCUCUACGAUACGAUCGUGGCGGCGAGUUUAUCAAUUAGAAAAUCUAUAAAACAAAGGAAAAGUUUUUAUCGUACAUACUAUGUACAAUUUACAUGGAAAUGAGCGAAGGUUGGCAAAAUCAAGGAGAGUCCUUCACGCAACGGAGCAUGUAGAUUACAAAUUGACCUAGAAUCGCGAUUCAAACGUAUGAACACCCGUACUCAUGAAUUUGCGUGGCCCGGGCUGUAACGAAGUUC
rnacentral:lncRNA from 1 species